rnacentral:rRNA from 1 species
UACGGAGGGUGCAAGCGUUGUCCGGAUUUAUUGGGCUUAAAGGGUGCGUAGGCGGCCCUGUAAGUCAGUGGUGAAAGCCUCCAGCUCAACUGGAGAACUGCCAUUGAUACUGCAGGGCUUGAGUACAGACGAGGAUGGCGGAAUUGAUGGUGUAGCGGUGAAAUGCAUAGAUACCAUCAAGAACACCGAUUGCGUAGGCAGCUAACUAGGCUGUAACUGACGCUGAGGCACGAAAGCGUGGGGAGCGAACAGG